rnacentral:lncRNA from 1 species
GUUUUGGUCCCUCUGCUGUGGGCAAAUUGGAAUCUCAGCUUAUAUUCAGAAUCAACAAAUACAUCCCAGGGGAGAAAAAGACCAGCAAUCACAGGGAAGGACCCUUUCCUGCACAGAUGUCAUAUACGGUCUCCAGCUUCAAGAUAUAAAGGAGAGCUCUUUUCGUGCCUAGCGCAACCAUGGCUCAUGGUCCCAAGAAACAUCUGAAGUGAGCAGCAGCUCCAAAGCAUUGGAUGCUGGGUAAAUUGACCAGCGUUUGCUCCUCAUCCAUCUACUGGUCCCUACAAGCUGAGGUACUGUCUCCUCCUCAUCAUUUUCCUAAGGGACAGACUUAAGUAUGCCCUAACUGGAGAUGAAGUAAAGAAGAUUUGCAUGCAGUAGUUCAUUAAGAUUGAUGGCAAGCUCCAAACCAAUAUAGCCUAUGCUGCUGGUUUUUUGGAUGUCAUCAGCAUUCACAAGACUGGUGAGAAUUUCCGUCUGAUCUAUGGCUCCAAGGAUAGCUUUCCUGUUGACCGUAUUACACCUGAGGAGGCCGAGUAUCACUUGUGCAAAGUGAGAAGGAUCUUUAUGGCAUGAAAGGAAACCCUCAUCUGGUGAUCCAUGAUGCUCACACCAUCCGCUAC